rnacentral:sRNA from 5 species
CUGUACGGGAAGGAUGAGAAGCUUCGACCAAGGUUCGAUUCGAGCGCAGCGAGAAAGCGUUGCCGCAGGCAACGACCCGAAGGGCGAAGCGCGCAGCGCUGAGUCAUCCUUCCCCCACCACCA